GGCGAGGCUAGUCUCGCCGGGUAUGGCAUUGCCCCAGCGUGCUGGAGCCCUCGGAGAGCAAGCGCUGGCCUUAUUCACUGGCUUUGGCCCCAUGCAGAACCCACCACCAGGGCAGGCAGGGAC
rnacentral:snoRNA from 1 species